CCACGCAGUAAACGAUGAAUACUUGGUGUCGGGGAGAUAAACUNUUCGGUGCCGCAAGCAAACGCAUUAAGUAUUCCACCUGGGGAGUACGUUCGCAAGAAUGAAACUCAAAGGAAUUGACGGGGACCCGCACAAGCGGUGGAGCAUGUGGUUUAAUUNGAAGCAACGCGAAGAACCUUACCAAAUCUUGACAUACUCUUGAAUAGUCUUGUAAUGAGACUAGUCCUUCGGGACAAGGGAUACAGGUGGUGCAUGGUUGUCGUCAGCUCGUGUCGUGAGAUGUUGGGUUAAGUCCCGCAACGAGCGCAACCCUUGUCGUCAGUAGCCAGCAGUAAGAUGGGCACUCUGACGAGACAGCCGGAGAUAAUCCGGAGGAAGGUGGGGAUGACGUCAAAUCAUCAUGCCCCUUAUGAUUUGGGCUACACACGUGCUACAAUGGCGUAAACAAAGUGAAGCAAAACCGCGAGGUUAAGCAAAUCACAGAAAUAACGUCUCAGUUCGGAUUGUAGUCUGCAACUCGACUAUAUGAGGCCGGAAUCGCUAGUAAUC
rnacentral:rRNA from 1 species